rfam:Roseburia sp. CAG:45 genomic scaffold, scf123
UGAUAAGGGCUGUUAGGGGCACCCGGAAUUUCAUCUGGCAGCAGGCAACGCUGGUACAGGGAUGUACCAGCGAGGCACAAUUGAACAUGGAUGUGAAUUUGCGCCGGUUGCCAGAUGAAAGAAAAAGUAUGCCGAAAUUCCCAGUGCCCCUUGCAGACAUUAUGU